rnacentral:rRNA from 1 species
UACAGAGGGUGCAAGCGUUGUUCGGAAUUAUUGGGCGUAAAGCGCGUGUAGGCGGCUUGGCAAGUCGGGUGUGAAAGCCCUCAGCUCAACUGAGGAAGUGCGCCCGAAACUGCUGAGCUUGAGUGCCGGAGAGGGUGGCGGAAUUCCCCAAGUAGAGGUGAAAUUCGUAGAUAUGGGGAGGAACACCGGUGGCGAAGGCGGCCACCUGGACGGUUACUGACGCUGAGACGCGAAAGCUAGGGUAGCAAACGGG